UGUAUACAAAAUAACAAGCAAACUAUGUGUAUGCAUGUGUAUGUGCUGUAUGUAUGUGCUAGCUGACCCGGCAAACCAUUUGCCGCAGUAUUGUGAACGAUGUCAUUUGGAAGCAUGAAUUGAAUGUGCGAAUGGACUUCAGGAACAGGAAACAUAUACAAGAAUCGUCGGCGGAUGCUAAAUAUGAAUAUAUGAGUAUAUGAAUACGGCCAAGAUGGCUGCAUUUUUGGCUGUCGAGUGAAUGAUUUCACCUAUGUAUAGAAAGUGCUUCAGAUUUGGGAGAUCAAACGGAAAUUUCAUAUGGUACUUCGGAAGGUGGAUCAACCAUGACAUUGUUCAGGAUUUGCUGUGAGUUCGAGGUGGUUUCUGCUUUUCAACAAAACAAAAUAUUAUAAUUGGAAUGUGCAAAAGCCUUUAACAUAAGGUAU